AGGACACGCUGGCGGCGUGCCUAACACAUGCAAGUCGAGCGGGGUUGAAGCGAGAGGUAACUCGAACUUCUACCUAGCGGCGGACGGGUGAGUAACGCGUGGGCAACCUGCCUCAAGGUCUGGGAUAACAGCCCGAAAGGGCUGCUAAUACCGGGUAUGCUUGUGGCCUCGCAUGGGGCUACGAGCAAAGGGGAAACCCGCCUUGAGAUGGGCCCGCGUCCCAUCAGCUAGUUGGUGAGGUAACAGCUCACCAAGGCGACGACGGGUAGCCGGCCUGAGAGGGUGACCGGCCACACUGGGACUGAGACACGGCCCAGACUCCUACGGGGGGCAGCAGUGGGGGAUCUUGCACAAUGGGCGAAAGCCUGAUGCAGCGACGCCGCGUGAGCGGAGAAGGCCUUCGGGUUGUAAAGCUCUGUCUGGAGGGACGAAGAAAGUGACGGUACCUCCGGAGGAAGCCACGGCUAACUACGUG
rnacentral:rRNA from 1 species